GUGCUCAAUUCGGCAGCACACGCACUAACAUUGGAACGAUACAGAGAAGAUUAGCAUGGCCAAUGUGCAAGGAUGACAUGCAAAUUCAUGAAGCGUUCCAUAUUUUU